rnacentral:rRNA from 1 species
GGGUUGGGCUGUUCGCCCAUUAAAGCGGCACGCGAGCUGGGUUCAGAACGUCGUGGGACAGUUCGGUCCCUAUCCGUCGCGGGCGUAGGAAAUUUGAGAGGAUCUGCUCCUAGUACGAGAGGACCAGAGUGGACUUACCGCUGGUGUACCAGUUGUCUUGCCAAAGGCAUCGCUGGGUAGCUAUGUAGGGAAGGGAUAAGCGCUGAAAGCAUCUAAGUGCGAAGCCCACCUCAAGAUGAGAUUUCCCAUGAUUUUAUAUCAGUAAGAGCCCUGAGAGAUGAUCAGGUAGAUAGGUUAGGAGUGUAAUUGUGGUGACACAUUUAGCGGACUAAUACUAAUAGCUCGAGGACUUAUCCAAAA